AUUCCAGCUCCAAUAGCGUAUAUUAAAGUUGUUGCAGUUAAAAAGCUCGUAGUUGGAUUUCUGGCGUGAGGCGACUGUUCCUAGGCUCUAUGCCUAGUGUAACAGAUCGCCUCGGCCAUCCUUCUGGAAAACGGCCCUGCUCUUCAUUGAGUUGGGGUCGGGAUCCAGAUCUUUUACUUUGAAAAAAUUAGAGUGUUUAAAGCAGGCUUAUGCCUUGAAUACAUUAGCAUGGAAUAAUAAUUUAGGACUUUGGUUCUAUUUUGUUGGUUUCUAGAACUGAAGUAAUGAUUGAUAGGGAUAGUUGGGGGUGCUAGUAUUCAGCGGCCAGAGGUGAAAUUCUUGGAUUCGCUGAAGACUAACUUAUGCGAAAGCAUUCACCAAGGAUGUCUUCAUUG
rnacentral:rRNA from 1 species